CAAUAGCGUAUAUUAAAGUUGUUGCGGUAAAAAAGCUCGUAGUUGGAUUUCUACCGAAGAUAGCCGGUCGGGUCUUCGACCUUGUAUCUGGUUUUGUCUUUGGUAUCCUCAUAGGGAACGUUUCUGCGCUUUAUUGCGUGGUGCGGUAUCUAUGACUUUUACUUUGAGGAAAUUAGAGUGUUCACGGCAGGCAAACGCCUUGAAUAUAUUAGCAUGGAAUAAUAACAUAGGAUCUUCGUCCUAUUUUGUUGGUUUCUAGGGCUAAGAUAAUGAUUAAUAGGGAUAAUUGGGGGCAUCUGUAUCAACGCGUCAGAGGUGGAAUUCUUGGAUUGCGUUGCGACAAACUAUUGCGAAAGCAUUUGCCAAGGAUGUUUUCAUUGA
rnacentral:rRNA from 1 species